rnacentral:rRNA from 1 species
AUGGCGACCGGCGCACGGGUGAGUAACACGUAUCCAACCUGCCGAUGACUCGGGGAUAGCUUUUCGAAAGAAAGAUUAAUACCCGAUGGCAUAGUUCUUCCGCAUGGUAGAACUAUUAAAGAAUUUCGGUCAUCGAUGGGGAUGCGUUCCAUUAGGUUGUUGGCGGGGUAACGGCCCACCAAGCCUUCGAUGGAUAGGGGUUCUGAGAGGAAGGUCCCCCACAUUGGAACUGAGACACGGUCCAA